UACGAAAGGUGCAAGCGUUACUCGGAAUCACUGGGCGUAAAGGGCGCGUAGGCGGCCUGACAAGUGGAAGGUGAAAUCCCUCGGCUUAACCGAGGAACUGCCCUCCAAACUGUUUGGCUUGAGACCGGGAGAGGUGAGUGGAAUUCCCAGUGUAGCGGUGAAAUGCGCAGAUAUCGGGAAGAACACCGGUGGCGAAGGCGGCCAUCUGGACCGCAACUGACGCUGAGGCGCGGAAAGCGUGGGGAG
rnacentral:rRNA from 1 species